AUACGGAGGAUCCGAGCGUUAUCCGGAUUUAUUGGGUUUAAAGGGAGCGUAGGUGGAUUGUUAAGUCAGUUGUGAAAGUUUGCGGCUCAACCGUAAAAUUGCAGUUGAAACUGGCAGUCUUGAGUACAGUAGAGGUGGGCGGAAUUCGUGGUGUAGCGGUGAAAUGCUUAGAUAUCACGAAGAACCCCGAUUGCGAAGGCAGCUCACUAGACUGUUACUGACACUGAUGCUCGAAAGUGUGGGUAUCAAACAGGAUUAGAUACCCUGGUAGUCCACACAGUAAACGAUGAAUACUCGCUGUUUGCGAUAUACAGUAAGCGGCCAAGCGAAAGCAUUAAGUAUUCCACCUGGGGAGUACGCCGGCAACGGUGAAACUUAAAGGAAUUGACGGGG
rnacentral:rRNA from 1 species